rnacentral:rRNA from 1 species
GAUGAACGCUGGCGGCGUGCCUAAUACAUGCGAGUCGAGCGAACGGACGAGAAGCUUGCUUCUCUGAUGUUAGCGGCGGACGGGUGAGUAACACGUGGAUAACCUACCUAUAAGACUGGGAUAACUUCGGGAAACCGGAGCUAAUACCGGAUAAUAUUUUGAACCGCAUGGUUCAACAGUGAAAGACGGUCUUGCUGUCACUUAUAGAUGGAUCCGCGCUGCAUUAGCUAGUUGGUAAGGUAACGGCUUACCAAGGCAACGAUGCAUAGCCGACCUGAGAGGGUGAUCGGCCACACUGGAACUGAGACACGGUCCAGACUCCUACGGGAGGCAGCAGUAGGGAAUCUUCCGCAAUGGGCGAAAGCCUGACGGAGCAACGCCGCGUGAGUGAUGAAGGUCUUCGGAUCGUAAAACUCUGUUAUUAGGGAAGAACAUAUGUGUAAGUAACUGUGCACAUCUUGACGGUACCUAAUCAGAAAGCCACGGCUAACUACGUG